rnacentral:snoRNA from 1 species
UGCAAGUGAUGUGAUGGAAUAUUUGCUAUCUGAGCUGCUCUGCUGACAGUCCUACCCACCAAGAUCUCUGAUGCA